GUAUAAGCAAUCUAUACGGUGAACUGCGAAUGGCUCAUUAAAUCAGUUAUCGUUUAUUUGAUAGUACCUUACUACUUGGAUAACCGUGGUAAUUCUAGAGCUAAUACAUGCUAAAAACCCCGACUUCGGAAGGGGUGUAUUUAUUAGAUAAAAAACCAAUGCCCUUCGGGGCUCUCUGGUGAUUCAUAAUAACUUAACGAAUCGCAUGGCCUUGUGCCGGCGAUGGUUCAUUCAAAUUUCUGCCCUAUCAACUUUCGAUUGUAAGGUCUUGGCUUACAAUGGUUUCAACGGGUAACGGGGAAUUAGGGUUCGAUUCCGGAGAGGGAGCCUGAGAAACGGCUACCACAUCCAAGGAAGGCAGCAGGCGCGCAAAUUACCCAAUCCCGACACGGGGAGGUAGUGACAAUAAAUACUGAUACAGGGCUCUUUUGGGUCUUGUAAUUGGAAUGAGUACAAUUUAAAUCCCUUAACGAGGAACAAUUGGAGGGCAAGUCUGGUGCCAGCAGCCGCGGUAAUUCCAGCUCCAAUAGCGUAUAUUAAAGUUGUUGCAGUUAAAAAGCUCGUAGUUGAACCUUGGGCCUGGCUGGCCGGUCCGCCUCACCGCGUGCACUGGUCCGGCCGGGCCUUUCCUCCUGGGGAGCCGCAUGCCCUUCACUGGGUGUGCCGGGGAACCAGGACUUUUACUUUGAAAAAAUUAGAGUGUUCAAAGCAGGCCUAUGCUCGAAUACAUUAGCAUGGAAUAAUAGAAUAGGACGUGUGGUUCUAUUUUGUUGGUUUCUAGGACCGCCGUAAUGAUUAAUAGGGAUAGUCGGGGGCAUCAGUAUUCAAUUGUCAGAGGUGAAAUUCUUGGAUUUAUUGAAGACUAACUACUGCGAAAGCAUUUGCCAAGGAUGU
rnacentral:rRNA from 1 species